rnacentral:rRNA from 1 species
CUACGGGUCGCUCCAGUAGGGAAUAUUGGACAAUGGGCGAAAGCCUGAUCCAGCAACACCGCGUGCACGAUGACGGCCUUCGGGUUGUAAAGUGCUUUUAGAGGAGAUGAGAAAGGACAGUAUCCUCUGAAUAAGCCUCGGCGAACUACGUGCCAGCAGCCGCGGUAAAACGUAGGAGGCAAGCGUUAUCCGGAUUUAUUGGGCGUAAAGCGCGUGCAGGCGGUCUAGCAAGUUGGAUGUGAAAGCUCCCGGCUCAACUGGGAGAGGUCGUUCAAUACUGUUAGACUAGAGAAUAGGAGAGGGAGGUGGAAUUCCGGGUGUAGUGGUGAAAUGCGUAGAUAUCCGGAGGAACACCAGUGGCGAAAGCGGCCUCCUGGACUAUUUCUGACGCUAAGACGCGAAAGCUAGGGUAGCAAACGGGAUUAGAUGCCCCCGAGUC